GGUUCGAUUCCGGAGAAGGAGCCUGAAAACGGCUACUACAACUACGGUUUGGCAGCAGGGAAGAAAAUUGGCCAAUCCUAAUUCAGGGAGCCAGUGACAAGAAAUAGCAGACCGGGAAACUUAGUUUCUACGGUACUGAAAUGAGAACAGUGUUAAUCUCUUAUCGAGAAACAAUUGGAGGGCAAGCCUGGUGCCAGCAGCCGCGGUAAUUCCAGCUCCAAUAGCGUAUAUUAAAGUUGUUGCAGUUAAAAAGCUCGUAGUUGAACUUCUGUCCAGGUUCGUCUUGGCUCGCCAGGACAAUUCUGGACAUACGUCUGCAAGCUAAAAUCGGCCUUCACUGGUACGACUUAGUAAGUAGACAUUUUACUGUGAAAAAAUUAGAGUGUUUCAGGCAGGUUUUAGCCCGUAUACAUUAGCAUGGAAUAAUGGAAUAGGACUAAGUCCAUUUUAUUGGUUCUUGGAUUUGGUAAUGAUUAAUAGGGACAGUUGGGGGCAUUAGUAUUUAAUAGUCAGAGGUGAAAUUCUUGGAUUUAUUAAGGACUAACUAAUGCGAAAGCAUUUGCCAAAGAUGUUUUCAUUAAUCAAGAACGAAAGUUAGGGGAUCAAAGACGAUUAGAUACCGUCGUAGUCUUAACUAUAAACUAUACCGACUCGGGAUCGGCUGGAAUACAUGUCCAGUCGGCACCGUAUGAGAAAUCAAAGUCUUUGGGUUCUGGGGGAAGUAUGGUACGCAAGUCUGAAACUUAAAGGAAUUGACGGAACAGCACACCAGAAGUGGAACCUGCGGCUUAAUUUGACUCAACACGGGGAAACUCACGAGCGCAAGACAGAGAAGGGAUUGACAGAUUGAGAGCUCUUUCUUGAUUCUUUGGGUGGUGGUGCAUGGCCGUUCUUAGUUGGUGGAGUGAUUUGUCUGGUUAAUUCCGUUAACGAACGAGACCUUAACCUGCUAACUAGUCGCGUUUUGAACAAAGACGUGUACUUCUUAGAGGGACUAUUGUGCAAGAAGCCAAUGGAAGUUUAAGGCAAUAACAGGUCUGUGAUGCCCCUAGACGUGCUCGGCCGCACGCGCGUUACAAUGACUGGCGCAGAAAGCAUUUCCUGACCUGGGAAGGUUCGGGUAAUCUUAUUAAUACCAGUCGUGUUAGGGAUAGUUCUUUGGAAUUUUGGAUCUUGAACGAGGAAUUUCUAGUAAGUGCAAGUCAUCAGCUUGCGUUGAUUAUGUCCCUGCCGUUUGUACACACCGCCCGUCGCUUGUAGUAACGAAUGGUCUGGUGAACCUUCUGGACUGCUCAGCAAUGAGCGGAAAAAUAAGUAAACCCUACCAUUUGGAACAACAAGA
rnacentral:rRNA from 1 species